AUUGAACGCUGGCGGCAGGCCUAACACAUGCAAGUCGAACGGCAGCACAGAAGAGCUUGCUCCUUUGGUGGCGAGUGGCGGACGGGUGAGUAAUGUCUGGGAAACUGCCCGAUGGAGAGGGAUAACUACUGGAAACGGUAGCUAAUACCGCAUAACGUCGCAAGACCACAGCGGGGGACCUUCGGGCCUCACACCAUCGGAUGUGCCCAGAUGGGAUUAGCUAGUAGGUGGGGUAACGGCUCACCUAGGCGACGAUCCCUAGCUGGUCGGAGGGGAUGACCCGCCACACUGGAACUGAGACACGGUCCAGACUCCUACGGGAGGCAGCAGUGGGGAAUAUUGCACAAUGGGCGCAAGCCUGAUGCAGCCAUGCCGCGUGUAUGAAGAAGGCCUUCGGGUUGUAAAGUACUUUCAGCGGGGAGGAAGGCGGUAAGGUUAAUAACCUUGCCGAUUGACGUUACCCGCAGAAGAAGCACCGGCUAACUCCGUGCCAGCCGCCGCAGUAAUAC
rnacentral:rRNA from 1 species